GACGAACGCUGGCGGCGUGCUUAACACAUGCAAGUCGAACGGAAAGGCCCUGCUUUUGUGGGGUGCUCGAGUGGCGAACGGGUGUGUAACACGUGAGUAACCUGCCCUUGACUUUGGGAUAACUUCAGGAAAAUGGGGCUAAUACCGGAUAGGAGCUCCUGCUGCCUGGUGGGGGGUGGAAAGUUUCGGGGGCUGGGGAUGGACUCGGGGCUGAUCAGCUUGAUGGGGGGGCAAUGGCUUACAAAGGCCUUGACGGGUAGCCGGCCGGCGAGGGGUACCGGCCACAUUGAGACUGGGAAACAGCCCAGACUCCUACAGGAGACAGCAGUGGGGAAGACUGCACAAGGGGCGGAAUCCUGAUGCAUCAACGCCGCGUGCGGUAUGACGGCCAUCGGGUUGUAAACCGCUUUCGCCUGUGACGAAGCGUGAGUGACGUUAAUGGGUAAAGAAGGACCAACUAACUACGAG
rnacentral:rRNA from 1 species